AUGGAGCCAGUCAGUGCCUCCAAUGUGGUCGACGACGAGUGCAUCGGGGAUUCGGGGUCGUCUUCAAGAAGGACAAGACCAGGGCCUCCAAUGGAUCAGGGGUUUGUGCAGGUCAUCACCAUGGAUGCGUCUUUCUGUAGAAUUGGGGAGGUGACGUUACAGCAGGAUAUAUCUCGUGCAAGGCUCUGGUUCUUUGAGGGCCAAAAGAAGAUCUUGCUUUAUAGUGAGAGAUCUCACUUCUUCCACGGAUACAAGGUCAUAGCAUCUAAAAGGCCCUCCCUUGAGUACCUCCCUCGAAUCAGGGGAGGACAUCAUUUGGUCGUCUACUCAUUGCGAGGGAGAAAAUAUUUCUAUCCAAAGCUUGUAAAUAUGCUCGGUGAAUCAGCAAAUCCCAGGUGUAAUGUGUUUUUUUCUCGUCUAAACCUCCUUAAGCUGGAGCAGAUCGUCGGAAUGUCGUCUGCACGGAGGCUGAUUUCUUCCGACAAGGAUAUGUUUGUCUUCUGUUGA
rnacentral:rRNA from 1 species